rnacentral:tRNA from 1 species
AAUUUUGAACCAUAUUAUUUAUAUAUUUUUUUUAAAAUGAAGAAUAAAUAAAGUACUUACUCUACCUUAAUUA